GAUGAACGCUGGCGGCGUGCCUAACACAUGCAAGUCGAGCGAACGGACGUGAAACUUGCUUCUCUGAUGUUAGCGGCGCACGGGUGAGUAUCACGUGGAUUACACAUCAAUAUGACUGGGAUACCUUCGGUAAACCGGAGCUAAUAUCGGAUAAUAUUUCCAACCGCAGGGUUCAAGAGUGAAAGACGGUCUUCCUUUUACUUAUAGAUGGACUCGCGCUGCAUUAGCUAGUUGGUAAGGUACCGGCUUACCAAGGCAUCGAUGGUUACCCGUCUUGAGAGAGGGAUCGGCCACACGGGAACUGGGCCACGCUCCAGCCUCCUCGGGAGGGAGGAGUGGGGGAAUCUCCGGCAUUGAGGAAAAUCCUGACGGGGCAACGCCGCGUGGGGAAUGAGGGUCUUGGGAUCGAAAACUCCUGUUAUCAGGGAAGAACAUAUGUGUGAGAAUCGGUGGACGUAUUGACGGUACCGAAACAGAAAGCCACGGCUAACUACGUG
rnacentral:rRNA from 1 species